GACGAACGCUGGCGGCGUGCUUAACACAUGCAAGUGGUGCGACGAACCAGGCUUCGGCCUGGGGCGAAGCCGCGAACGGGUGAGUAACACGUGGGCAAUCUGCCCCUUUGAUCGGGACAACCCGGGGAAACCCGGGCUAAUACCGAAUGAGGUGGCGACUCAUGAGAGUCGUCACGAAAGGAAGCUUCGGCCUCCGCGAAGGGAUGAGCCCGCGGCCCAUUAGCUUGUUGGUGGGGUAAUGGCCUACCAAGGCAACGAUGGGUAGCUGGUCGGAGGGGACGAUCAGCCACCCUGGGACAGAGACACGGCCCAGACUCCUACGGGAGGCUGCAGGGGGGAAUCUUGCGCAAUGGGCGAGAGCUUGACGCAGCAACGCCGCGUGAGGGAAGAAGGCUUUCGGGUCGUAAACCUCUUUCAGUUAGGACGAAGCUUUAUUGGUUGAUAACCAAUUGGAGUGACGGUACUUUCAGAAGAAGCCCCGGCUAACUACGUGCCAGCCGCCGCCGUAA
rnacentral:rRNA from 1 species